rnacentral:rRNA from 1 species
AUUGAACGCUGGCGGCAUGCUUUACACAUGCAAGUCGAACGGCAGCGCGGGCUUCGGCCUGGCGGCGAGUGGCGCACGGGUGAGUAAUGCAUCGGAACGUGCCCAGUAGUGGGGGAUAGCCCGGCGAAAGCCGGAUUAAUACCGCAUACGACCUGAGGGUGAAAGCGGGGGACCGAAAGGCCUCGCGCUAUUGGAGCGGCCGAUGUCGGAGUAGCUAGUUGGUGGGGUAAAGGCUUACCAAGGCGACGAUCCGUAGCUGGUCUGAGAGGACGACCAGCCACACUGGGACUGAGACACGGCCCAGACUCCUACGGGAGGCAGCAGUGGGGAAUUUUGGACAAUGGGGGCAACCCUGAUCCAGCCAUGCCGCGUGCGGGAAGAAGGCCUUCGGGUUGUAAACCGCUUUUGUUCGGGAAGAAAUCCUCUGGGCUAAUACCCCGGGGGGAUGACGGUACCGGAAGAAUAAGCACCGGCUAACUACGUG